GACGUAGGGGGCCAGCGUUGCUCGGAAUUACUGGGCGUAAAGGGUUCGUAGGCGGUGCGGCAAGUCGGGAGUGAAAUCUCUGGGCUUAACUCAGGGGCUGCUUCCGAAACUGCCGUGCUUGAGUGCGGGAGAGGCGAGUGGAAUUGCAGGUGUAGCGGUGAAAUGCGUAGAUAUCUGCAGGAACACCCGUGGCGAAAGCGGCUCACUGGACCACAACUGACGCUGAGGUGCGAAAGCUAGGGGAGCAAACAGG
rnacentral:rRNA from 1 species